ACGGGUGAGUAACACGUAGGCAACCUGCCCUCAAGCUUGGGACAACUACCGGAAACGGUAGCUAAUACCGAAUACUUGUUUUCUUCGCCUGAAGGAAACUGGAAAGACGGAGCAAUCUGUCACUUGAGGAUGGGCCUGCGGCGCAUUAGCUAGUUGGUGGGGUAACGGCUCACCAAGGCGACGAUGCGUAGCCGACCUGAGAGGGUGAUCGGCCACACUGGGACUGAGACACGGCCCAGACUCCUACGGGAGGCAGCAGUAGGGAAUCUUCCGCAAUGGGCGAAAGCCUGACGGAGCAAUGCCGCGUGAGUGAUGAAGGUUUUCGGAUCGUAAAGCUCUGUUGCCAGGGAAGAACGCUUAGGAGAGUAACUGCUCCUGAGGUGACGGUACCUGAGAAGAAAGCCCCGGCUAACUACGUGCCAGCAGCCGCGGUAAUACGUAGGGGGCAAGCGUUGUCCGGAAUUAUUGGGCGUAAAGCGCGCGCUGGCGGUCAUUUAAGUCUGGUGUUUAAUCCCGGGGCUCAACCCCGGAUCGCACUGGAAACUGGGUGACUUGAGUGCAGAAGAGGAGAGUGGAAU
rnacentral:rRNA from 1 species